ACAGCUAUAAUGUACUUGAUGUUGAUUAUCCAACGUGGAUAACUGUGGUAAUUCUAGAGCUAAUACAUGCACCAAAGCUCCGACUUAUGGACGAGCGCAUCUAUUAGAUUAAAACCAAUCGGGCUUCGGCCCGUCAAUUGGUGACUCUGAAUAGCUAUUGCUGAUCGCAUGGUCUCGUACCGGCGACGUAUCUAUCAAGUGUCUGCCUUAUCAACUUUCGAUGGUAGUUUAUGUGCCUACCAUGGUUGUAACGGGUAACGGAGAAUAAGGGUUCGACUCCGGAGAGGGAGCCUGAGAAACGGCUACCACAUCCAAGGAAGGCAGCAGGCGCGCAAAUUACCCACUCUCGGCAUGAGGAGGUAGUGACGAAAAAUAACGAGACCGUUCUCUUUGAGGCCGGUUAUCGGAAUGGGUACAAUUUAAACCCGUUAACGAGGAUCUAUGAGAGGGCAAGUCUGGUGCCAGCAGCCGCGGUAAUUCCAGCUCUCAAAGUGUAUAUCGUCAUUGCUGCGGUUAAAAAGCUCGUAGUUGGAUCUGCGCCUCAGGACCCGGUCCGCCCAUUGGACGAGAACUGGGCUCCUAGGCUUGAUAAGCCGGUUUUCCCUACGUUGCCUUCAUCGGUCGCGUAGGGUGGCCAGCAAGUUUACCUUGAAAAAAUUAGAGUGCUCAAUGCGGGCUAAUGCCUGAAUACUCGUGCAUGGAAUAAUGAAAUAGGAUCUCGGUUCUAUUUUGUUGGUUUUCUCAACUGAGAUAAUGGUUAAGAGGGACGGACGGGGGCAUUCGUAUCGCUGCGUGAGAGGUGAAAUUCUUGGACCGUAGCGAGACGCCCGACUGCGAAAGCAUU
rnacentral:rRNA from 1 species